rnacentral:rRNA from 1 species
GCGAAUCGCCCUUGUGGGUGCCCGCGGCUUCAUUUCUUUGUCAUGCGGGAAACCGUGAUCCGGGAGCUCUGAGUGCCCGUUAAAUCGGGCUGUCCUUCGGUUUAAAUAACCGGUGAAGAAAGGGACGGGCAAUACCUGUGCCAUCCGCCUCGGUAAUACCGGCAGCUCGAGUGGUGCCCACUAUUACUGGGCUUAAAGCGUACGUAGCUGGUUUGUUAAGUCUCUGGGGAAAUCUUCCGGCUUAGCCGGAAGGCAUCUCACGGAUACUGGUAGACUACGGACCGGGACAGGUGACAGGUACUCCUGGGGUAUGAGUGAAAUCCUGUAAUCCUUGGGGGACCACCUGUGGCAAAGGUGUCUCACCAGAACGGCUCCGACUUUGAGGGACUAAAGCUGGGGAAGCAAACCGGAUUAGAUACCCGGGUAGUCCCAGAUGUAAAAGAUGCCCGUUACGUGUUUCGGUGACCUCUAGUCACCGAGGUGCCAAAUACAAAUCGUGAAUCGUGCCGACUGGGAAUUACGGGCUCAAGGCUGAAACUUAAAGGAAUUGCCGGGGGAGCAC